UGUAGGUCUGGAUCUAUGUAGGUAUGGAUUCGUGUAGGUCUGGAUCUAUGUAGGUAUGAAUUCGUGUAGGUCUGGAUCUAUGUAGGUAUGGAUACAUGUAGGUCUGGAUUUAUGUAGGUAUGAAGGUAUCGAUCCGUGUAGGGCUGGCUCUAUGAAGGUAUGGAUCCAUGUAGAUCUGGAUUUAUGUAGGUAUGAAGGUAUGGAUCCGUGUAGAUCUGGAUCUAUGAAGGUAUGGAUCUCUGAAGGUAUGGAUUUAUGUAGGUCUGGGUCUAUGAAGGUAUGAAGGCAUGGAUCCAUGUAGGUCUGGAUCUAUGAAGGUAUGAAGGUAUGGAUCCAUGUAGGUCUGGAUCUAUGAAGGUAUGGAUCUCUGUAGGUAUGGAUUUAUAUAGGUCCGGAUCUAUGAAGGUAUGGAUCCAUGUAGGUAUGAAGGUCUGGAUUUGUGUAUGUAUGGAUUUAUGUAGGUAUAAAGGUCUGGAUUUGUGUAUGUAUGGAUCUGUGUAGGUUUAAAGUAUGGAUCUAUGAAGGUAUGUAGGUAUAGAUCUGUGUAGGUACUGAUUUGUGUAGAUAUGGGUCUGAAUGAAAGAUAUGGGUCUUUGUAGGUAUGGAUAUAUCUAGGUAUGUACAUAUAUGUUUGUGUGUUUUUUCCAAAAUGAGCUCUGUGACUCACGCCAACAACAGAUCUGAACCAAACUUAGCACCCAGACCCUCCUUGACCAAUUCUACAAACUGGUAGGUUUUUUUGGGGGGGAACGGAUGGACCCGGGAUGAUGGGAGUUGUAGUCCAUCAGGCAUCCAAAGAUCCAAGAGUAUCCUACCACCCGAGAACCACCUGUAUUUCUAAGGGGACCAUUCAUAAAAUCCAAAACAUGACUUCAAAUAUUUGUCUUUACAAAAUACCUAACGUGAGCAUCUCUGGGGACUAAGCUAGUUAUUAUUAUUAUUAUUAUUAUUAUUAUUAUUAUUAUUAUUACUAAUAAUAAUUUACUUCUAACCCACCCUCUCCCCGAACGGAUUGAAAAUGCUAAGUCUGCCCUGGACUACAAAUCCCAGCAUUGCAUGACAAGCAAAGAGGAGUAACAGUUGGCAUCCUAAUACAAUGGCAAGUAAAUACAAAAGACAGCAAAAUAUUCACAUCCCAAUCAGCUACGCAAGUAAAUCCGUUCUGGGUUUUAGUCCAAACUUUCAAAGCCAUAUCCAAAGUGUUGGAAACUUCCAUCCUAAAAUAGCUUUGGUUUUGCUUUAUGAGAGAUAUCAAACCUAUUAGCCUCAGAAUGUUGUACUAAUUAAUAAUAAUAAUAAUAUAAAAUUUAUUAUAUUAUUUUAAAAGUUUAGACUAAAACACAGAGUGGCUUAAUCUACUCCACUGGAUAAGCUACAAAUAGCAAUUUAUUAAGAGAAAUUGAAUGUUUCGUUCAGGUUUCGAUCCAAGAGCCUUUCAGACAGACAGCCACACAGCCUUAAAGAUAUUACUGUAAAUGCUUUAUUCAGGGUUUUUUUUCUCGUUUCAUUUAUUAAAAACCUGUAUUAAUAACUAAACAA